GAAUGCUGACAUAAGUAACGAUAAAGCGGGUGAAAAGCCCGCUCGCCGGAAGACCAAGGGUUCCUGUCCAACGUUAAUCGGGGCAGGGUGAGUCGACCCCUAAGGCGAGGCCGAAAGGCGUAGUCGAUGGGAAACGGGUUAAUAUUCCCGUACUUGGUGUUACUGCGAAGGGGGGACGGAGAAGGCUAUGUUGGCCGGGCGACGGUUGUCCCGGUUUAAGCGUGUAGGUGUGUGUUCCAGGUAAAUCCGGUUCACUUUAACACUGAGGCGUGACGACGAGGCACUACGGUGCUGAAGCAACAAAUGCCCUGCUUCCAGGAAAAGCCUCUAAGCAUCAGGUAACAUCAAAUCGUACCCCAAACCGACACAGGUGGUCAGGUAGAGAAUACCAAGGCGCUUGAGAGAACUCGGGUGAAGGAACUAGGCAAAAUGGUGCCGUAACUUCGGGAGAAGGCACGCUGACACGUAGGUGAAGUGAUUUACUCAUGGAGCUGAAGUCAGUCGAAGAUACCAGCUGGCUGCAACUGUUUAUUAAAAACACAGCACUGUGCAAACACGAAAGUGGACGUAUACGGUGUGACGCCUGCCCGGUGCCGGAAGGUUAAUUGAUGGGGUCAGCGCAAGCGAAGCUCCUGAUCGAAGCCCCGGUAAACGGCGGCCGUAACUAUAACGGUCCUAAGGUAGCGAAAUUCCUUGUCGGGUAAGUUCCGACCUGCACGAAUGGCGUAAUGAUGGCCAGGCUGUCUCCACCCGAGACUCAGUGAAAUUGAACUCGCUGUGAAGAUGCAGUGUACCCGCGGCAAGACGGAAAGACCCCGUGAACCUUUACUAUAGCUUGACACUGAACAUUGAGCCUUGAUGUGUAGGAUAGGUGGGAGGCUUUGAAGCGUGGACGCCAGUCUGCGUGGAGCCGACCUUGAAAUACCACCCUUUAAUGUUUGAUGUUCUAACGUGGACCCGUGAUCCGGGUUGCGGACAGUGUCUGGUGGGUAGUUUGACUGGGGCGGUCUCCUCCUAAAGAGUAACGGAGGAGCACGAAGGUUGGCUAAUCCUGGUCGGACAUCAGGAGGUUAGUGCAAUGGCAUAAGCCAGCUUGACUGCGAGCGUGACGGCGCGAGCAGGUGCGAAAGCAGGUCAUAGUGAUCCGGUGGUUCUGAAUGGAAGGGCCAUCGCUCAACGGAUAAAAGGUACUCCGGGGAUAACAGGCUGAUACCGCCCAAGAGUUCAUAUCGACGGCGGUGUUUGGCACCUCGAUGUCGGCUCAUCACAUCCUGGGGCUGAAGUAGGUCCCAAGGGUAUGGCUGUUCGCCAUUUAAAGUGGUACGCGAGCUGGGUUUAGAACGUCGUGAGACAGUUCGGUCCCUAUCUGCCGUGGGCGCUGGAGAACUGAGGGGGGCUGCUCCUAGUACGAGAGGACCGGAGUGGACGCAUCACUGGUGUUCGGGUUGUCAUGCCAAUGGCACUGCCCGGUAGCUAAAUGCGGAAGAGAUAAGUGCUGAAAGCAUCUAAGCACGAAACUUGCCCCGAGAUGAGUUCUCCCUGAGACUUUA
rnacentral:rRNA from 1 species